rnacentral:lncRNA from 1 species
AAAAGGGUUGGGGCUGCCUGCCCCAGCCAGGGAUGAGAAGGAGGCUCUUGUACUGGCCGUCACUCCCCUUUGAUGGGAUAACUGGAGGCAGUGACAGUUCAGCCUCCCUCCUUAGUGCCCCACCAGAAUAAAAACACCCUAGGAGUGCUGACUCCCCGUGUCAUAGCUGUGGAGCCUGCACCCUGCACCAAGGAGGAAGGAGAUAUCAACACAAAUUAUUUAGAAUAAGAAAAGCAACACCGUUUCCAGAGUUGGUAUUCCUGCAUUUGCUCCAGUCUCACCUAUAAACUGAAGAUAAAAUGUUCCCACUUCACAAGAUUGUUGCGAAAAUUAACCAAGG